GGGUAUAUAGCUCAAUGGUAGAGUGCCUGCUUAGAUGCACGAGGUCCUGGGUUUGCUCCCUAGUACCUCCA
rnacentral:tRNA from 1 species